CCUUGAUACAUAUCUUCCCCACCGCUCCUAUGUAUCAAUUUUGUGCUCUCAUUUUGUAGAAAGAAACAAAGGGAAUAACAGAACAGCUUCAGGAGGAGAAACUAAGGGUCCAAAUCCACCAGAGUCUAAUUGAUUUAAGGUAACUAAUGUAUAGAAUUGAAUUUUAUGAGCUGAACUUGAUAGGAUUUGGUGAUCUUUUAUGAACCAAAUUUGAGUUGAUAACUUCUAGCCGGGAAAAUUGAAGUUGGACAGCUAUAAACCAAUUUUGUGGGUAUGAUUUCUUGCAUAUGUUGCUAUUAACUUGUAACCAAACAUCUGAUGUGGGUAGAUGUAUGAAACUGAAGAGAUUUUAGAUGGUAAUGGCCAAGAAACCUUGAGUUCUAACUAACCCCAAGGUUGACAGUCACCUUUGCGCAGCUUUAGUAAAUAGGCCAUAACUUGAGAUGGAAAACUCAAAAUUGGGCAACGUCAAUUGCAUUAGAAACUAGACUUAGAGAUCUUUCCAGUGGUAUAAAAAUCAAGCUCUGGUUCAUUGCCUACUAAUACCAGAAAAUUUGCAAAUUUCAUUGGAAAUCAGAACCUGCGCAGUUAGAGACUGGAAAUUGCACGUACUUGUGGCCCAACUUAGAACCAUCUAUUGAUUGAUUCGCUAAAUGAUCCCUUGUAGAUAUAUUUAGUAUUUCAAUUGUGGGUUCUAAUGCCUCCAAUUUUGCGGUGAUUUGACAUAUAUAUCCAGAGUUAUGCAUGUUUAAUCGACAACUGCAUUUGCUGAAACUUCCACCCUGCACAACAUAAGAACUUGAAAGUGUACCAAAUUGUGACUGAAUUUAGAUAAGCUUAUGAUAUAAAUCUCUCAGUAGUUUCUUCUGAAGGUAGUUAGAGCCUUGUUUCUAGUUUAUAACAGUGUGAAAUUUAGAAUUUUCUGAAGUAUACAGCCCAUGUUACACAUGUUUAAUUGAACUUUGUCCAUGCUGAAAAUGAUGGAGAGCAGUGUAGCUCUAUAGUCGACUUAAGUAUAAUGGCAUAACUCUUGAAACGAUAUACAUUCUUGAUUACUGCUAGGAGUUUCAACAGAUGGUUAUUAUUCUGAUUUUAUUGUUUUAGGAGAAGGAUAAAGAGAAUUUGGGUGACACUCUCUUGACUAACGAGUAAGUGGCUCUUUCAUAUCUCUAUAAUUUUUAAAAUGUCUUUAAAUUUUUUUUUAUUUGUCAGUUGUUACAGAAAAUAUAUUUUGUUAUACUAAAUUGGAUUGAGCAUGUGUAAUUUUUUUACAACUAUGUGCAUAUGAAUAACUAUAUUACUUGUUUAAAAGUGAUUGUUAUGCAAUAUUUUGGAUAUCAUUGGACGUGCUUAAAUAAGUAAAUGACACGAAAAGGCUCUAAAAUUGUUAUAUUUGAAUACUGGUAGCCCUUUCACAGGAUAUAAUAGUGGACAAAUGACCCUAUCACGGGAAAAAAGAGUGACCGUAGUAAUUAUCUAGAACUAUAUUUUUAACCGGUAUGUGGCCCUACCACGAAAAAUAAUAGUGGUAUUUAAUAGUCUUGUCAUGAGAUAUAAUGGUGACCGUGGUAUAUUUUUGAGCUAAACGCAAAAUGAAAAGAUACAACAUUCCAUGGAUUAUAAUUAAAGAACAAUAAAAUAUGAAUCUAUGCACAGUUAUGCAUUGUAUAUGCAAGAUGCAUGCACUGUUUUAAUUGUGAUUGAAUUCUAAGAAAUAAUUUUAUUAAAUGUUAUUUAUAAUAUUAAUAUACUCAAUCUAUUAAAGAUACAUUUGAGCUACUUAUUGAGUAAAUUGAUGAUCACCCCACCUAAUUUUUUCUGUCCUGCAGAUGAGGAUCAAAUGCAUGAUCGAUUGAAGACUAGUUUGAUCAGAGUAUGUUUCUAGCGUUGAAUUUUGCAAAAAUGUAGCUUGUAUGACUUUUGUACCCUAGUAAUGCAUGUAUGUCAAGAGUUUAAUGUGAAAAUUUGUACGAAUGACUUUUUGUGUUUGAAACUUUGGUAAACACAUUUAAAGAUUUAUGUAAUUAUUGAUAUAUUUAUAAAUUCAACAGACGCCGGUAUAUCCUCUCAGGAGUGUAUAUCGGUGCCACGCUCCAAAAUAUAAGUUAAUAAAUUUUUAAAUACGAUUAUCGGAUUUGAGGCGA
rnacentral:lncRNA from 1 species